GGGAUCCAGAAUCGUCAGAUGAGUGAAGUCCCCUGGAUAGCCUCAAUGCAGCCAAGCUUCAUCCCGAGCUUCCUCCGACGAAGAUGAAGACUGAGCUCGUCCAUCUUGCAGGAAUUCAAGACCCGCGAGUCGAACGUCUUUUAGGACUGCGAGGAAGAAAAGUUAUGCAUCCAGCAGACGUUCGACUCCCAUUCCAAUACGCAGGUUCUGCUUCAAGCAGAAGUAGCGACUGGUUUCAAGGAGACCACCACACAAGGAGACAACCACACAAGAUCCCAUUCACUGCCACCAAAGAAUAAAAUCGAGAUGUGGAUAAAUCUUUGCAAGAUUUUAUGCGCAAGGUAAUAAAAACCUGGACCAUUGAGCAAACUGUAGAGGAGGAGAGUUUGGAGGAAAAAAGUGCAAUGUGGGAGCCCCAUUUGUUCAUGCAUUUUUGUCUAAUGUAAAUUCUGUACAUAGUUAUACUUAUAAAUAAAUCAUUUU